rnacentral:rRNA from 1 species
AUGAUAUGGGCAAGUAACCCCUCAGGUCAAGAGGAAGGAAGAGAGAACAGAUCACCAGCAGGUCAACCAUCCACCCCGUCCAUUAAGCAACAAAGAUUGCUGCUCUCCAUCGCAAGCGCCUUUCAGAAUAUCCUGCAAAUCGUUACCCAACUGUUCUUUUCCUUUCAAAACAGGGCAUUCCCUGUUCACAAAAAGGCAAGGAUAUGUCAAGAAGUAAAUUUUCUUGUCAAGUGCCAGCGGGAAGAGCUUAGAGUUGUUUUGAAGCCGGUAAGAGAAGUGAGUAGAUUAAGGCAUGUUGUACAAAUUAAGUAA